rnacentral:misc_RNA from 1 species
AUUGAGAUAGACACAAUAAAAAUUUAAGUGAACAAAAAAUCUAAGGACUCAUUGGAUAUUAUGAAGAAGAUGGAUUAUGACCCAAUAAGGGGCAUUUUGGUUAAUUCACUUCAAGAGUUGAUUUUUGACCAAAGUGUCAAUUAAAUUAAAUGAAAAUAAAAUAUUAAAUUAUGAAAAAAUAUUGAGGAAAAGUUCAAAUAUAAAGGUGAAAAAAAAAGAAAAGAAAAGAA